rnacentral:rRNA from 1 species
AACGAACGCUGGCGGCAGGCCUAACACAUGCAAGUCGAGCGCGCCCUUCGGGGUGAGCGGCGGACGGGUGAGUAACGCGUGGGAACGUGCCCUUCUCUGCGGAAUAGCCUCGGGAAACUGAGAGUAAUACCGCAUACGCCCUUUGGGGGAAAGAUUUAUCGGAGAAGGAUCGGCCCGCGUUGGAUUAGGUAGUUGGUGGGGUAAUGGCCCACCAAGCCGACGAUCCAUAGCUGGUUUGAGAGGAUGAUCAGCCACACUGGGACUGAGACACGGCCCAGCCUCCUACGGGAGGCAGCAGUGGGGAAUCUUAGACAAUGGGGGCAACCCUGAUCUAGCCAUGCCGCGUGAGUGAUGAAGGCCUUAGGGUGGUAAAGCUCUUUCAGCUGGGAAGAUAAUGACGGUACCAGCAGAAGAAGCCCCGGCUAACUCCGU